rnacentral:lncRNA from 1 species
GCUCCUGGAAAACUACUGGGUGUGCAGGCUUUUGUUCCUGACCUGCGCUAACAGAUCUGAUUCAUCUAAUCAUUAACACCUUGAUUACCCGAAUCAGAUGAGCCCUUCAGUCCAUACAGACAAGGACAGUUCAUGAAGAAACACAAGGUCUACACAUGAGAAAGAGCUGUUUCACUGUCACCUAAAAUCCAUUUGAACAAAUCAUUUUAAUUUUGGUAUUUUAAUUUAUAUGUUGAGUAUAUAGGAAUCUCUUGUUGCUGCUAAAUGCAAAUAAAUAUUUGCAUGUGUAUCUACU